CCUACGGGAGGCAGCAGUGGGGAAUAUUGGGCAAUGGGCGCAAGCCUGACCCAGCAACGCCGCGUGAAGGAAGAAGGCUUUCGGGUUGUAAACUUCUUUUCUCAGGGACGAAGCAAGUGACGGUACCUGAGGAAUAAGCCACGGCUAACUACGUGCCAGCAGCCGCGGUAAUACGUAGGUGGCAAGCGUUAUCCGGAUUUACUGGGUGUAAAGGGAGCGUAGACGGAAUUGCAAGUCUGAUGUGAAAAUCCGGGGCUCAACCCCGGAACUGCAUUGGAAACUGUAUUUCUAGAGUGUCGGCGAGG
rnacentral:rRNA from 1 species